rnacentral:lncRNA from 1 species
ACGGGGUAAGCGCCGCUCGCCAUCGGAUCGGCUCGAUCUGUCGUGGGACGGUGGCUCACUCGACGGAAGGAGAUCACAGGAGCUGGGAAAUCAGUCACCUGGUGAGUCUGAUCUCAACCCCUCGUUUUCAAUCCAAUGUCCGGAAAUUGUUUAAGGUUUUGGCCUUUUGUGAUAAUAACAACAAAUUACCUUAAUUUGAGUUUGAAUUUGGAAUGAAUAAUCAAAUACUGCAACCAGCAAACUCUAGAAAUUCAAAUCCUUAUUAACCAACAUGGCUGCUUGUUUGCAAUUCCUCCCUAAGCUAUGACCAAUACUGAAUAGGAGGACAUGGACAAUCCUCAACAAUAAUGUUCUACAUAUGGAGAAAAGGCUUCUCGUGAAAUCAGCACAAGCACAUCAGUGCCUCGUCGUUUAGUUGCAGAAAAAAAAGAAACCAAUAAAAGACGGCUGAAUUGACAUCUGAAAAGAACUAUCAAUGCUGAUGUUAUGCGUUGAUAGUGAGAUUCUAUCCUUCUCUUCUCUUUUGAAAAGAACCUGCCAUUUUCUCAAUUAUUUGAGUGAUAACAAUUACCAACCAACAAAAGUUGGAAUGAAUAGUCUUCUUCUAUCAAAUGAUACAAAUUAAAUAUUUUUUUUCUUGAAGGAACACAAAUUAAAUAUUUUUUUUCUUGAAGGAACACAGCAUCAACUACAGCUUGUUGGCCCAGGCAUAGUAAUUAAUAUUUAUGUAGACGAUUCUAUCAUCCUAUCCCAAUUAGGACUUUUAGCAGCAAGAAGCCUCAUUCUGCAUUCCAGUGAUAAGUAUGAACUAUGAUAUUGCAUUGUCCACAUAUGCUUCAGUUAAUCUGCAAACAUUUCAAGCUAUAGAACACCAAGCACAUGAGUGGUGCAAAAUUAAGCAAUCUACUCUACGAACUGUUAACAUGCUGUACAUUACUGCAUUACUAAUAUGACCAUGCUUUCCUGGAUGACUAAUGUUGCAUCGGGUCAGUAUCAUCAAUCAACCUGUAGAAAUGGUUGCCCACCUACCAUGUCCUCUUUCCCUUAAAAAGGAAAAAAAGGGUGCCUGCCGACUCUUAAGGAUCACUAGUUCUCUAUGCACGGACAUCUCUCUCAACCAUGUACUGAAAACAACAACACAGGUAACCUGACAAAGUCGAUAUAUAUAGCGAGAGAAGCACACAAACUAACAAAUUGCCCGCAAAGAUUACCGUGCCAUCCCGUUAGAAAAACUUAAAGUGCUCCCUCACAAUGGCCACCACACCCUCAAGAUUUCAGAAGCUUGAUCAGAUGGCUGAAACGGGAACUAGGGAUGAAACACAGGGCAGCCACACUGAGGUUGGCAUUUGUAUUCAUUCACUGCCACCUGGAAACAUGCAGAUGCAGCCUCUCCGUUUUCUGCAGUAUUGUGGUUCAUGCAACCGUGCACUGGGCCCGGAGGCGGAUAUCUACAUUUACAAGUAGGUUUCUUGGCUUUGGUUUUCACAUUCCUAAAUCUUCUGUUUUAAUCUAAUUAGCUUUUGUUCUGCACCUUGGUAACUGUUAGUUCUUAGACUUGGCGAUGUUUUAUAACUCGUGGUCUUAUAUAAGAAAGCAUUCAUUUUGUGUUUACAAAUGAGUGAAUUCUUCUGUACCAUUUUUCAUGAGGUAUAAGUAUGGCACUGAGGUAAUUAUGUUUAUCCUUGCCUAUAGAUCCUUCUCUCUUCUUUUUAAUUCCUUGCUGCUGCAGGGGAGAGAGCGCUUUCUGCAGUAUUGAAUGCCGGGAGACGCGAAUGAGGACUGACAAUGCUCGAAGGAACCAUCCGUCUUGAAAUGAUUUGAGUUGUACUGUUCUCAGACUCCCGAUCAUACAUGUUUAUCCAACUCUUUGGGGGCUAUGUCGAUCUUGAGAAAGGAAAUUAACACCAUGUACGACUUCUCUGAUUCUUGAUUCAGCACCAAGUUCGCAACAUGAAAAAUAACAAGGGCGCGGCCCAAAUGAGAGUUUUUUCAUUCUUCAGUUGACUUGCAACUUGAGAGUCAUGUAUGGAACAGAGUACAAAAACCAAGGUGUGAUAUUAUUUGUCCAACCCAAUGCAGAAAGGAACAAUCUUGAUUCUUGAAAUAAUAAUGAAAUAACACUAUGCGAAGCACUUUCAAUCUGAC